rnacentral:rRNA from 1 species
GACGGGGACCCGCACAAGCGGUGGAUGAUGUGGAUUAAUUCGAUGCAACGCGAAAACCUUACCUACCCUUGACAUGUCCGGAAUCCCGAAGAGAUUUGGGAGUGCUCGCAAGAGAACCGGAACACAGGUGCUGCAUGGCUGUCGUCAGCUCGUGUCGUGAGAUGUUUGGGGUUAAAGUCCCGCAACGAGCGCAACCCUUGUCAUUAGUUGCCAUCAUUUGGUUGGGCACUCUAAUGAGACUGCCGGUGACAAACCGGAGGAAGGUGGGGAUGACGUCAAGUCCUCAUGGCCCUUAUGGGUAGGGCUUCACACGUCAUACAAUGGUCGGUACAGAGGGUUGCCAACCCGCGAGGGGGAGCUAAUCCCACAAAGCCGAUCGUAGUCCGGAUCGCAGUCUGCAACUCGACUGCGUGAAGUCGGAAUCGCUAGUAAUCGUGGAUCAGCAUGUCACGGUGAAUACGUUCCCGGGUCUU